UACGUAGGGUGCGAGCGUUGUCCGGAAUUAUUGGGCGUAAAGAGCUCGUAGGCGGCUUGUUGCGUCGGCCGUGAAAACCUGCAGCUUAACUGUGGGCGUGCGGUCGAUACGGGCAUCACUGGAGUUCGGCAGGGGAGACUGGAAUUCCUGGUGUAGCGGUGAAAUGCGCAGAUAUCAGGAGGAACACCGGUGGCGAAGGCGGGUCUCUGGGCCGAUACUGACGCUGAGGAGCGAAAGCGUGGGGAGCGAACAGG
rnacentral:rRNA from 1 species